UACGGGGGGGGCAAGCGUUGUUCGGAAUUACUGGGCGGAAAGGGCUCGUAGGCGGCCAACUAAGUCGGAUGUGAAAUCCCCAGGCUUAACCUGGGAACUGCAUCCGAUACUGGAUGGCUUGAAUUCGGGAGAGGGAUGCAGAAUUCCAGGUGUAGCGGUGAAAUGCGUAGAUAUCGGGAAGAACAUCAGUGGCGAAGGCGGUCUGCUGGGCCGUUGCUGACGCUGAGGCGCGACAGCGUGGGGAGCAAACAGG
rnacentral:rRNA from 1 species